rnacentral:rRNA from 1 species
UGGGGAAUAUUGCACAAUGGGCGCAAGCCUGAUGCAGCCAUGCCGCGUGUAUGAAGAAGGCCUUCGGGUUGUAAAGUACUUUCAGCGGGGAGGAAGGGAGUAAAGUUAAUACCUUUGCUCAUUGACGUUACCCGCAGAAGAAGCACCGGCUAACUCCGUUCCAGCAGCCGCGGUAAUACGGAGGGUGCAAGCGUUAAUCGGAAUUACUUGGCGUAAAGCGCACGCAGGCGGUUUGUUAAGUCAGAUGUGAAAUCCCCGGGCUCAACCUGGGAACUGCAUCUGAUACUGGCAAGCUUGAGUCUCGUAGAGGGGGGUAGAAUUCCAGGUGUAGCGGUGAAAUGCGUAGAGAUCUGGAGGAAUACCGGUGGCGAAGGCGGCCCCCUGGACGAAGACUGACGCUCAGGUGCGAAAGCGUGGGGAGCAAACAGG